rnacentral:rRNA from 1 species
AGCGAACGCUGGCGGCAGGCCUAACACAUGCAAGUCGAACGAACUCUUCGGAGUUAGUGGCGGACGGGUUAGUAACACGUGGGAACGUUCCUUUUGGUUCGGAAUAACUCAGGGAAACUUGUGCUAAUACCGAAUGUGCCCUUCGGGGGAAAGAUUUAUCGCCAUUAGAGCGGCCCGCGUCUGAUUAGCUAGUUGGUGAGGUAACGGCUCACCAAGGCGACGAUCAGUAGCUGGUCUGAGAGGAUGACCAGCCACACUGGGACUGAGACACGGCCCAGACUCCUACGGGAGGCAGCAGUGGGGAAUCUUGCGCAAUGGGCGAAAGACUGACGCAGCCAUGCCGCGUGAAUGAUGAAGGUCUUAGGAUUGUAAAAUUCUUUCAACGGGGACGAUAAUGACGGUACCCGGAGAAGAAGCCCCGGCUAACUUCGUG